GGCAGGCGAGCGGCGCGGCAGGCCCUGGCGCUCCCCACCGCGGCCCUGCACUCACGAUCUCCAGGAAGAUGACGGCUCCCGAGAAGGAUGGACAUGCUUGUGCACAUGCUUCUCCUAUGUAGAGAGUGUUUUCAUCCACUACAAUGAAUAACUCCUGACAGUGGACUUGCACAUUGUUCUCAGAUGUGUGGAUGGGGUGAGAGAAAGGGAUGAUGAAUUUGCUACCAGGUAUUUGGAAG